UGCAAACUGCGAAUACCGGAGAAUGUUAUCACGGGAGACACACGGCGGGUGCUAACGUCCGUCGUGAAGAGGGAAACAACCCAGACCGCCAGCUAAGGUCCCAAAGUCAUGGUUAAGUGGGAAACGAUGUGGGAAGGCCCAGACAGCCAGGAUGUUGGCUUAGAAGCAGCCAUCAUUUAAAGAAAGCGUAAUAGCUCACUGGUCGAGUCGGCCUGCGCGGAAGAUGUAACGGGGCUAAACCAUGCACCGAAGCUGCGGCAGCGACGCUUAUGCGUUGUUGGGUAGGGGAGCGUUCUGUAAGCCUGUGAAGGUGUGCUGUGAGGCAUGCUGGAGGUAUCAGAAGUGCGAAUGCUGACAUAAGUAACGAUAAAGCGGGUGAAAAGCCCGCUCGCCGGAAGACCAAGGGUUCCUGUCCAACGUUAAUCGGGGCAGGGUGAGUCGACCCCUAAGGCGAGGCCGAAAGGCGUAGUCGAUGGGAAACAGGUUAAUAUUCCUGUACUUGGUGUUACUGCGAAGGGGGGACGGAGAAGGCUAUGUUGGCCGGGCGACGGUUGUCCCGGUUUAAGCGUGUAGGCUGGUUUUCCAGGCAAAUCCGGAAAAUCAAGGCUGAGGCGUGAUGACGAGGCACUACGGUGCUGAAGCAACAAAUGCCCUGCUUCCAGGAAAAGCCUCUAAGCAUCAGGUAACAUCAAAUCGUACCCCAAACCGACACAGGUGGUCAGGUAGAGAAUACCAAGGCGCUUGAGAGAACUCGGGUGAAGGAACUAGGCAAAAUGGUGCCGUAACUUCGGGAGAAGGCACGCUGAUAUGUAGGUGAAGUCCCUCGCGGAUGGAGCUGAAAUCAGUCGAAGAUACCAGCUGGCUGCAACUGUUUAUUAAAAACACAGCACUGUGCAAACACGAAAGUGGACGUAUACGGUGUGACGCCUGCCCGGUGCCGGAAGGUUAAUUGAUGGGGUCAGCGCAAGCGAAGCUCUUGAUCGAAGCCCCGGUAAACGGCGGCCGUAACUAUAACGGUCCUAAGGUAGCGAAAUUCCUUGUCGGGUAAGUUCCGACCUGCACGAAUGGCGUAAUGAUGGCCAGGCUGUCUCCACCCGAGACUCAGUGAAAUUGAACUCGCUGUGAAGAUGCAGUGUACCCGCGGCAAGACGGAAAGACCCCGUGAACCUUUACUAUAGCUUGACACUGAACAUUGAGCCUUGAUGUGUAGGAUAGGUGGGAGGCUUAGAAGUGUGGACGCCAGUCUGCAUGGAGCCGACCUUGAAAUACCACCCUUUAAUGUUUGAUGUUCUAACGUUGACCCGUAAUCCGGGUUGCGGACAGUGUCUGGUGGGUAGUUUGACUGGGGCGGUCUCCUCCUAAAGAGUAACGGAGGAGCACGAAGGUUGGCUAAUCCUGGUCGGACAUCAGGAGGUUAGUGCAAUGGCAUAAGCCAGCUUGACUGCGAGCGUGACGGCGCGAGCAGGUGCGAAAGCAGGUCAUAGUGAUCCGGUGGUUCUGAAUGGAAGGGCCAUCGCUCAACGGAUAAAAGGUACUCCGGGGAUAACAGGCUGAUACCGCCCAAGAGUUCAUAUCGACGGCGGUGUUUGGCACCUCGAUGUCGGCUCAUCACAUCCUGGGGCUGAAGUAGGUCCCAAGGGUAUGGCUGUUCGCCAUUUAAAGUGGUACGCGAGCUGGGUUUAGAACGUCGUGAGACAGUUCGGUCCCUAUCUGCCGUGG
rnacentral:rRNA from 1 species